rnacentral:rRNA from 1 species
UUGGUGAGGUAAAGGCUUACCAAGGCGACGAUCAGUAGCUGGUCUGAGAGGACGACCAGCCACACUGGGACUGAGACACGGCCCANACUCCUACGGGAGGCAGCAGUGGGGAAUUUUGGACAAUGGGGGAAACCCUGAUCCAGCCAUGCCGCGUGAGUGAAGAAGGCCUUCGGGUUGUAAAGCUCUUUCAGCCGGAACGAAACGGUCACGGCUAAUACCUGUGACUACUGACGGUACCGGAAGAAGAAGCACCGGCUAACUACGUGCCAGCAGCCGCGGUAAUACGUAGGGUGCAAGCGUUAAUCGGAAUUACUGGGCGUAAAGCGUGCGCAGGCGGUUUUGUAAGUCAGAUGUGAAAUCCCCGGGCUUAACCUGGGAACUGCGUUUUGAAACUACAAGGCUAGAGUGUGGCAGAGGGGGGUGGAAUUCCACGUGUAGCAGUGAAAUGCGUAGAGAUGUGGAGGAACACCGAUGGCGAAGGCAGCCCCCUGGGUUAACACUGACGCUCAGGCACGAAAGCGUGGGGAGCAAACAGGAUUAGAUACCCUGGUAGUCCACGCCCUAAACGAUGUCAACUAGUUGUCGGGUCUUAACGGACUUG